rnacentral:rRNA from 1 species
UUAAAUUGAAGAGUUUGAUCAUGGCUCAGAUUGAACGCUGGCGGUAGGCCUAACACAUGCAAGUCGAACGGUAACAGGAAGCAGCUUGCUG